rnacentral:lncRNA from 1 species
ACAACAACGCUGUGAGGUUGUCAUCAGAGUCCAGUGUGGUAGCGGAGUGUUACAAGGAGCCCAUGUCUAUGUUCCAGGAAUCGUGUCCACCUCCAAAUGGGCUGGAGAGGAGAUUUCCUCUGACCCCCAAGGCCACCUGGCGGCCACGACAGGCAUCACAGUGUCCAGAGGGGACUGGUUUGUCCCCC